UACGUAGGGUGCAAGCGUUAAUCGGAAUUACUGGGCGUAAAGCGUGCGCAGGCGGCUUGCAAGACAGAUGUGAAAUCCCCGGGCUUAACCUGGGAACUGCAUUUGUGACUGCAUGGCUGGAGUGCGGCAGAGGGGGAUGGAAUUCCGGCGUGUAGCAGUGAAAUGCGUAGAUAUGCGGAGGAACACCGAUGGCGAAGGCAAUCCCCUGGGCCUGCACUGACGCUCAGUGCACGAAAGCGUGGGGAGCGAUCCGG
rnacentral:rRNA from 1 species